CGGACGGGUGAGGAACACGUGGGUCAUCUACCUUGAGGUGAGGAAUACCGGCGAGAAAUCGCCGACAAUACCGCAUACCUUUCUUGCAAGAGAAAGAAAGCUUCUUCGGAGGCGCCACAAGAUGAGCCUGCGGCCGAUUAGUUUGUUGGUGGGGUAACGGCCUACCAAGGCGACGAUCGGUAGCUGGUCUGAGAGGACGAUCAGCCACACUGGGAUUGAGAACGGCCCAG
rnacentral:rRNA from 1 species